rnacentral:misc_RNA from 1 species
GUCCCAACUUGAUCGGAACCAGAAGUCGAAACAGGCCACCAUUUAGGCAAUUGCUCCACAGAACUCUUCUUCUUUCGCCUCCUGGAAAAGCUAAUUGGAGUAUCCAAAUCCCAAUUACUAUUUCCUUCAUCUCUAUCCAAGACAUUUGGUUUCUUCCUAUCAAGCGUAGGCGUCUCAUUUUUAGCAACAAGUACUUCUCUUCCACCUAAACUACGGUCUCUCUUAUAGACUAAUUCAACGUUGUUGUUUCCAGUGUUGAGUGGUA